rnacentral:lncRNA from 1 species
GUGGUGUUGGUUGUCCUCUUCUAACAAAUUAGCAACAAUGAGUUUAUUAUGUAUUUCUUCAAUACAUUUUAUAACAAAGAAAGCAUGUAAUGAAAGCGUAAAGACAUUUUCAUGUUAAACUGCUGUACAAUGUACCCCAAUUUUUGACGUUUUUGUCUAUUAUGUCUGUUUGCUUUGCUGGCAUAUUGUUGUCAAUAUAAUGGAAUUCCAUGCAACUGUCCUACAAGUCAGAGGUGAAUCUAGCUAUUGAUCCAGAUUUAAUCCACUAUUUCCCACAUAAAGAAAUGCCUUUACUAAGUCAGGAAUAUGACAGUUGUUUUCCAUUCGUUAGAUGUUCGUUUGAUGUUUUUGAGCUUUUAAUUUUGUCAUGUUAUGAAGAAAUUUCCGUUUUAAUUUUCUUUUUGGAGUUCUUCUUUUUGUAUUUAUUUUUUACCUGUAAUUGACAGUAUUUUUCAUAUGUUGUGAUAUUAAACCACUGUCCCACGCCUAGGGUUUCAUCAUUGUUGGAGAUAUAACAGUUACCAAUAGUUUACAACCACUUUAUUUGGACUCUAGUGAAAAUCAUACCACCACCAAUUAAUUAUUCGCUAAUUUAACCAGAAAGGUGCAUUAAGUACGUUUACUUUUAGUCCAUGCAAUGAUAUAAAGUUUCCUAAAUGUCUUUGAGUGCAAACUGGCCAUUUAUCCUAACAUUACUGACCAAAAGCUCGGCCAGUACAUGACGUUAUAUAAGUUGUUUACAUGACAGUUUGCAUUUAACACCAAGGUCAGUUUUACUACUAUACAAAGGCUUCCUGCUGAUUUCAACUUUUAAACCUUUUAGUAUUUGCUGAUACAGGCGAUUUAAGAGUGUGGGCAAAAUGUUAUUUAUAUACAGUUUAUUGAACACAAAGAAAUGGAAUUAGAUUUAUAAGCUGUAUAAAUAUUAAUAUAAUUUCCAAUGUCAAAUAAAUAGUAAUAAACAACUCCUACUAAGUACCUUGUAGAUAAUUCGUUGAUUAUUGAAAGUGUACUAGAUACUCAUUUUAUUUCACUGGCUAGACUAACUAUCUCUGUACAUGUAUUAAUUUAAAGUUC